CCGCGGUAUCUUGACCGUGCAAAGGUAGCAUAGUCAUUUGUCUUUUAAUUGGAGGCUUGUAUGAAUGGUCGCACAAAAAAUAAUUUGUCUUAAUUAAAUAUAUUGAAUUUAACUUUUAAGUAAAAAGGCUUAAAUAAAUUAAAGUGACGAUAAGACCCUAUAAAACUUUAUAAUUUAUACUAAAAAAAUAUAUUAGUUAUUUAAAAUUUUUUUUGUGGAUUUUAUUUUAUUGGGGCGAUAAAAAUAAAAAUAGUAACUGUUUUUAAAAUUUAAAUGAUAAUUGUCAGUUUUAUUAAAUGAUCCUUUAUUAAAGAUUAUAAGAUUAAGUUACUUUAGGGAUAACAGCGUAAUUUUCUUUGAGAGCUCUUAUCUACAAGAAAGAUUGUGA
rnacentral:rRNA from 1 species